AUUGAACGCUGGCGGCAGGCCUAACACAUGCAAGUCGAGCGAGCGGCGGACGGGUGAGUAAUGUAUGGGGACUGCCCGCUAGAGGGGGAUAACUACUGGAACCGGUAGCUAAUACCGCAUACUAUCGGAUAACCCAUAUGGGAUUAGCUAGUAGGUGAGGUAAUGGCUCACCUAGGCGACGAUGCCUACCUGGUCUGAGAGGAGGAUCAGCCACACGGGGACUGAGAAACGGCCCAGACUCCUACGGGGGCAGCAGUGGGGAAUAUUGCACAAUGGGCACAAGCCUGAUGCAGCCAUGCCGCGUGUCUGAAGAAGGCCCUAGGGUUGUAAAGUUCUUUCAGUUGGGAGGCGUUACCGACAGAAGAAGCACCAGCUAACUCCGUACCAGCAGCCGCGGUAAUUC
rnacentral:rRNA from 1 species